AAAAAGGCAAACCCUGGGUUUCCGUGUCCAACUUUAACUAUCCGUCUUAUAUGAAAUUUUUUUAUAAUUCGUAUUUUCAUUGUUGUUAGAUGAUAAAACAUGAUUAAUAUUUUAUGCGUGACUUAUUUUUUUAAUUUUUUUAUAUUUUUUUCAAAUAAGACGAACGGUCAAAUGUUGGGCACGGAAACCAGGGUUUUUCUUUUU
rfam:Oryza sativa (indica cultivar-group) chromosome 12, whole genome shotgun sequence.